rnacentral:rRNA from 1 species
CAGGCCUGGGGGCCUACACAUGCAGUCGAGCGGUAGCACAGAGAGCUUGCUCUCGGGUGACGAGCGGCGGACGGGUGAGUAAUGUCUGGGAAACUGCCUGAUGGAGGGGGAUAACUACUGGAAACGGUAGCUAAUACCGCAUAACGUCGCAAGACCAAAGUGGGGGACCUUCGGGCCUCAUGCCAUCAGAUGUGCCCAGAUGGGAUUAGCUAGUAGGUGGGGUAACGGCUCACCUAGGCGACGAUCCCUAGCUGGUCUGAGAGGAUGACCAGCCACACUGGAACUGAGACACGGUCCAGACUCCUACGGGAGGCAGCAGUGGGGAAUAUUGCACAAUGGGCGCAAGCCUGAUGCAGCCAUGCCGCGUGUAUGAAGAAGGCCUUCGGGUUGUAAAGUACUUUCAGCGGGGAGGAAGGCGAUAAGGUUAAUAACCUUGUCGAUUGACGUUACCCGCAGAAGAAGCACCGGCUAACUCCGUGCCAGCAGCCGCGGUAAUACGGAGGGUGCAAGCGUUAAUCGGAAUUACUGGGCGUAAAGCGCACGCAGGCGGUCUGUCAAGUCGGAUGUGAAAUCCCCGGGCUCAACCUGGGAACUGCAUUCGAAACUGGCAGGCUAGAGUCUUGUAGAGGGGGGUAGAAUUCCAGGUGUAGCGGUGAAAUGCGUAGAGAUCUGGAGGAAUACCGGUGGCGAAGGCGGCCCCCUGGACAAAGACUGACGCUCAGGUGCGAAAGCGUGGGGAGCAAACAGGAUUAGAUACCCUGGUAGUCCACGCCGUAAACGAUGUCGAUUUGGAGGUUGUGCCCUUGAGGCGUGGCUUCCGGAGCUAACGCGUUAAAUCGACCGCCUGGGGAGUACGGCCGCAAGGUUAAAACUCAAAUGAAUUGACGGGGGCCCGCACAAGCGGGGGAGCAUGUGGUUUAAUUCGAUGCAACGCCAAGAACCUUACCUGGCCUUGACAUCCACAGAAUUUACCAAAAGAUGGCUUUGGUGCCUUCGGGGAACUGUGAAAACAGGUGCUUCUUUGGCUGGCCUUCAACUCCGUGUUUUUAAAAUGGUUGCUUUAAAUCCCCCCACCAAAUUCCAACCCUUUAUCCUUUUUUUUCCCACCCC